UUCAGAAAAGUGUCUGGGAACAUUUGCUGGAUAAUUUUCUAGUAUUGAUAUUUCAGCUGUUUGCAAUCAAUGCUAAUGGGAAAGUGAUACCAGCCAGAAACCAGCACUGAACUGGUCAUUCCUUUUGUAACUCACAGUUAGCGAAGUACAGAAAUAAGCAAACACCAAACCCAGUGGAAUUAACUGCAGAAGGAAAAUUCUUGAUUUUUGUAAUAGAAAAUGAUAAUGCCAGUUCAGUUAAAGGUAUCUACCAAGCUGUGCCCCUUUAAAAAAAAAAACCAACCAACCAAACAGGAGUAUUUUUGAGCAGAUAUAUUGAAAUUCACGUAUUUUAAAUUGGCUUGAGAUUCAGAACUUAUAUUUUUGCAGAGAGUACACAAGGUGAGCUAAAUUCUAGUGAGCUAAAAAUGUGUGUAUAUGUAGAAUGACAUCACCUUUUAUUUCUGUAGUGUCUACACCCCCCACCCUGCCCCAAACCCAUUUUUCCGAUGUUGUGCUUUCAGAUACUGAGGUUUUACAAUAAAAUUGGAACUGAACUCUUGCAGUCUGUACAGCCCAUGGAUAUUACUAGAAGCGAAAAUUUUACGGACGUAAUUUUACUUGCAGGGGAUAAAACUGAUUCACAAAACUUAGGAUUAGGUGAGCUAAUUAGGUGACAGCGUUUGCCUCCCGAACGAAGCGCAGGUGGUCACUCGCUCUGCCCCCCCUGUACCUCGCGAGAUGCUUUAUGUGCCUGACGAGGUGGCGGAGCCUGGAACGCAACGGGAGCUCCUUGGGGCUGUGCCAGCCUCCGUGCCCUGUGGCGGGGCAGAACGCACGUGUACGGAGAGCAAGGCAGGUCUGUGGUUUCCUGCGGGAUCUGCUGGAGAACACUUGUGAGCCUCUCCUUCUCCCACACCUUUCGUUCCUGGGUAACGGUACACUUGCUGUACCUUGAGAAAAACCCGAUUUGGGGUUGUCUCGUGCUAAAUUUCCAAACCAUUGGGUACUCCGCUAUACGCUGUAUCCAUAUUUACUGUCUCUUUCCUUUCCCAAGGAAAAGACUAAACACAGCAGAUAGGAAAGCUGCAGGUUUGCAGCCCCACUUCAAAGUGAAAUAACACCAUUGUGGCUCCUGAGAGUUGAAAGCUUGGAUUUGAUCCUAGACCUCUUUUUGGCUAUGCAGUAUUUAGGGCAACUGCAUUUUUUUUUUCCUUUUUUUUUUCCUCUUGUGGUUUAAAGGUCUAUUCCAAUUAAAGGGUGGAUGUUACUCAUUUAAUAAACAAAAAGAGUAAGACAAAAGGCAUGCAUCUUUAUUGGUAGCUCUGUUCAGGCUGUGGCCAUGUAAAACUGAAGUAGUCCUUCCUCUGUGCCAUUGCUACACAACGUAUUUAUAACGCGUGAUGAACCACUCACUGUGCAUACACUAAUAUGCAUAGCCUAUGCAUCAAAUCUCAGUGGAACUGGUUGUAUCUUCCUGCAUUUUCUGCAAUGUAAUGCUUCUGUUUUCCUAGCAGGAGUAUUCGUGAAAGCAAAACAGGAUCUCAAAUACGGGCGUAUUCAUAAAAAAGAAAUUGCAUACUGGUUAUAGAAUGUGCGACGCAGGCUUCAUUAGUUAUUUUGUGUGAGUCGAGUGUUAAUAUGCCCUAAUUGAAUUUAUUAUGUAACGUAACAUUUAUUGUAUUAUUUGAAUAUAACAUUGAAAACGUGUGUUGGUUUGGAAAGGCACAUUAGUAACCCAAUUAGAGCAGAAGCCAUAGCCAUAGAUUUGCCAGCAAUCAGCAAAGUAUGAUUUUGUUUACAUUAGCUCUGAACAUUCACUGUAAUAAUUAGUCACUGAAUAUUUUUCAAGUUAAAGGUUAGAAAACACAAAAAAGUGAGAAUGGUCUCAUUGGUACACCUAAUUUCCAUAUAAUUAUAAAGUCAUCCCACACAGGCAAUCAGGUUUAUACCAAGCCCGCAUGCCUGGCCGUGUGACCUCCACUGCUGCUGAAGCCCUCCUCUCAGGAGCAAGUCAAGGAGAUACAGUUGUGCCUACUCCUGCACGGCCCCAGCCACCACCUAAAGAACCUGUGUACGCCUUGCUAGCGGUAGUGGGAGUUACUGUGCAUUGCUGCUUCUGCAGGGAGGCCGGCAAACUGCAGCCUCGUCCUUCAGAAAUUUCCAUCUGCGGCUGAGGUCAACGAGAUUGCUUCUCUGAACAUCCGUAUUGCCUGACGGGCAUCCUUCACAUUGCAAGUAAACAAAAAGCAACCUGACUUUUUUACACAAAGCGAGACGCGUGGCUGCAGAUGGGCAGUAACCGAAGAGACUCAGGCGACAUCUCAGCGUGACUCCAAACUUUGUCCAGGACACACACAGGGAAGACAAACCCCAAGAAGUAAAUGUAGUGGCAAGUCGCACAAAUGCUACAGGUUUCACCAGAAACUUCCUCGUAACUGCUCUGCUCUCAGCUCCAGGGGAGAGCAAAGACACCGCUUGAAUUUGGUUAUUGUCCCUUAUUAAUUUUCACUGACAAUUUUUAAUUCUCAUCUGCCAAGGUGUUGGCACGCAGGCCAGGUGAACGUGGCACCUCCUCCCUUCUUGCUGGGGGUCCGGGCAGCUCACACCUUUGCAAUCCUUGCUGUCCCCAGGGGCUGGCUCACAGGGGUCUUGCCGCCUUCUGCCGCUCCUGAACGCCCCUCUCGGGCUCAGGCAGCUGAGGGCCAGUUUGGGGCCGGGGGCUGAGCUCCCUGCCCGGCUGCUCAGCUGGGACACCUGGGUCUGGGCCAGCUGGGAGCCACCACUGCUGGUUUGCAGGGUGGUGCGAAGGGGGUUCUAUCAGGGAAGAUGAACUCUUAAAUCCUAAAUUAAUUGCAUUCUUUCCAGGCUGCCCAAAAAUAAAACCUGGAAACAUGCCCCCCCGCCCUUUAAUAAAUGUAAUACAGCUCCGAAGUUACCUAAAAAGAAAGUGCAAUCUAGUGCAGUGUGCUUUCACCGUCCUGCUCUAUUCCUUCAGUUUCCUUCUGAUUUCUUGUGCUUCAGCCCGUGGCUGGGUAUGCAGGUAUCUGCUUUACCUGCAAAAAUGAAAUACCAGGAGGAACCGCGCUUGGUGCAGCUGGUGCGUGUUUAGGGUUUAAUUCACAGAAGGAGCAGGCUGCCCUGGGGGUGCAGGAUUGGACCAUGCACAAUAAAAGGAAGGAGUUCAGUGCCCAAGCCUGUCAAGUUUAAGGAGUUGUCCUAAAGAAAAGAUAAAGAGCAGGAAGGACUAGGAAGGGCUGCUCUCAAACCUCCUGUGUCCUCCUGGCUCGGUGCUCAUGCAGGUGGGUGACGGGUGCCCAGGCAGUGCAAGCAGGCAGACGAGCAGAGGUUUGCAGCCUGGCUGCCAUGCAUCCUUGAAAAAUGACUUCGGCUCCUGAAUACGAGGGAACUGUAAAGCCAGCUCUUGGCAGAUGCUCCCCAGUGAGACCCAGCUCAGUAACUGCUCUGAACCGUCACACACGGGCCUUACUGAGCCAGAGGGGUCUGGGGAUUUUUAGGGGGCUGGUACAAGCCGAGGGUGUCCCCGUGGUCGAGCUGUGUCAGCUUCUGUGGACAUGUGUGCUGCGAGAAAGAGGGGCACUGGCAGACAACUGGGCAUGCACUUUAUAUGCCUCUGAGGCCAAGGAGCAGCAGAACGGAGUCUCUCAAGGAUCUUGGGAGUAAAGAAACAUUAGACCUAAUUGCACAGAGAAGCCAUCAGAUACCCAAAUCCCUUUAGGGAACCCAGCUCUAGGAGCUAACCCAGCUCCCUCCGGAGUCAACAGGUCCUGGCACUGGCACCACUGUGACCAGCACCACCAAAAAGGCUCGGAAAUUUUUAAGCUGUUAUUACAACAGACGGCGUGUCUGCCUGUGACUGGACUCAGAAGCUAAGUACAGAAAGAGCAGAGGAGGUAUGUACCAUUUCCUAUGACUUCACUGUGUUUCCCAGGCAGGAACAGGUCGUUUGAAAAUGAUUUGCAAACAUGUAUAUAUAAUUAUAGGUGUAAUAUUUAAUACCUAUGAUUAUAAUCAUAGAUAUAAUAUUUAUUCCUUAACUUACUGAAAAAAAAAUAU